CUCUGCAGCUCUCAUCUGGUUGCCCACUGAAGCUAAGCAGAGUUGAGCCUGGUCAGUACCUGGAUGGGAGACCUCCUGGGAAAACUAGGUUGCUGCUGGAA
rnacentral:rRNA from 1 species